UACGAAGGGGGCUAGCGUUGCUCGGAAUCACUGGGCGUAAAGCGCACGUAGGCGGCUUUUUAAGUCAGGGGUGAAAUCCUGGAGCUCAACUCCAGAACUGCCUUUGAUACUGAGAAGCUUGAGUCCGGGAGAGGUGAGUGGAACUGCGAGUGUAGAGGUGAAAUGCGCAGAUAUCAGGAGGAACACCCGUGGCGAAAGCGGCUCUCUGGGACGGUACUGACGCUGAGACGCGAAAGCGUGGGGAGCAAACAGG
rnacentral:rRNA from 1 species